rnacentral:rRNA from 1 species
UAGGGAAUCUUCGGCAAUGGGGGCAACCCUGACCGAGCAACGCCGCGUGAGUGAAGAAGGUUUUCGGAUCGUAAAGCUCUGUUGUAAGAGAAGAACGUGUGUGAGAGUGGAAAGUUCACACAGUGACGGUAACUUACCAGAAAGGGACGGCUAACUACGUGCCAGCAGCCGCGGUAAUACGUAGGUCCCGAGCGUUGUCCGGAUUUAUUGGGCGUAAAGCGAGCGCAGGCGGUUUAAUAAGUCUGAAGUUAAAGGCAGUGGCUUAACCAUUGUUCGCUUUGGAAACUGUUAAACGUGAGUGCAGAAGGGGAGAGUGGAAUUCCAGGUGUAGCGGUGAAAUGCGUAGAUAUAUGGAGGAACACCGGUGGCGAAAGCGGCUCUCUGGUCUGUAACUGACGCUGAGGCUCGAAAGCGUGGGGAGCAAACAGG